AGUUGUGUCUCCCUCUGCCUUUUCUCAACCCUCUUCUCCUUAUGAGUUUCUCAGGCUCAAAAAGGCAGGUGCUCACACUCCCAGCCUCUCUUGCAGGUUUGAAUGGCCAUGAUGACCCAGUUCUGGCCAGUGUGACAUAAACAGAAGUUGAUGUAGGGGAAUUCCAGGAAAGACCUUCCGCAAUCCCAUGAAAGCCAUUAGAGCAGAAAUUCUCUCCUGCCCUGUACUUCCUUCCCCACUUCCUACCUUUGAUAGUUGGAAUACUGGCAGGCAUCUCACCACCAAGAGAAGACAAACUAAAGGAUCAAAAGCAACGUACUGAAGAUAGGAGAGCAAAAGAUGAAAAUAACUUGGAUCGUUAGUGAUCCUGAAGGGCCACCAAAUAAACCUUUGGAUGCUUACCUCUAUACUUCCUAUUGACAAAACACUUCUCUACUUCAAGUUUUAUCACGGACCAGGACUGAUCAACUAAAUGCGAAUAGAUGUGUUCUAUAUCAGCUUCCCUAGAACACAAAGCCUGAAUCAAGGAUGAAAGGAAGAUGCUUUUUGGCAAGGCAUAAAUUCAGAGGAUCCAGGAUGAGGACAAAGGCAAGUGAGCUAUGCAAGAUGUAAAAUGAUGUUUCAACAACACAAAGCUGAUUGUUUGGCAGUUGCAUCUAUUUCAUGCAUAGAACUUCUCCAGAUGGACUACCAAGAAACACUGUGCUUCAAAGAAUUUGAUAAGGACUAUGAAAGGGUACGUAUGAUAAAGAAGAGAGAAACCGGGUUUCCUCCAUUCUUCUAUGUUGGUCCAAACUUACCCCCUGGAGAAUUACCUGCACACCUAGAUUGUAUUUGACCCAUUGGCAGGCACUCAGAGCCCCAACACCAUGUGCUCUGGCAUUCACCUAAGUUCAGAUAGGAUGACACAGCCAAACAAUUUAGGUAUGAAGCCUGGCUGAUCAGUAGAGGCCAAGUAGAGAGCUUUCUGAGGGCAAAAGGCUGAAUCUGCCCUAGGUGUCCAACUGCCAGACCUAACAGACAGGCAAAGUGAAUCAAAUAGCUGGAGGUCACAGAAGGGUCCAACACCCAGGGACUCCGAGGAGCUACAGAAGAGAGAUGUAUAAUGUCUCAGCCACUUCCUUAAGGGGAAGCUGCUCGCUCCCCACACCGUAAUUUGAUCUUCCUACAGACUAAAAUUUAAACAUGGUGUGGUGCUGAUCAAAGCAAAAAGAAAGAACAAUGGCCUCACUGAGCAGAGCUGACCCUAGACUACCCACCUAUCUCUGAACGAUUACAUUAGAGAUAAAUAAUUUUC
ensembl:lncRNA novel transcript